AGAGCGCCGUCGACCCCACGCCACGCAGAGGUGAAGAUACGCAGGACGUCCUCUAAAGCAACUUCCGUGGGUGCCAGGUUGUGGGCUGGGGGCGGUGCUGACCUUGAGAGAGCGGAGGAGGCGCAGGCGCAGCACAGGUACGUGGGCGGGCGGAUCGUGGUGGCUGCGCUUGCGAGGACCCUGAGGUAGAUUGGGUGGUUUCAACAGGAACGCAUCCACUGUCUGAGAGUUUAAACUUGAUUUUGUGAGGGGACGAACAGCGUGACAAUUAAAAGAAGAUCUGGGAAUCAAAAGCUUCCUGAGGCCUUCACCAGAAGCAGAUGCUGGUGCCGUGCUUCUACAGCCUGCAGAACUGUGAGCCAAAUAAAGUUCUUUCCUUUAUAAAUUACCCAGCGUCAGGUAUUGUUUUAUAGCAAUGCAGAACAGACUAACACAGACACACACACCAACCAAGUACAGUAUGAGAAGGGAUUAUUGGGUGCCAUUUUGGAGGUUGUCUACCACAGGAUUUUAUCUGUAUCAUUAUUCAAAUUUCGUUUUUGAAAAAUUUUGUAAGGGCACAUUUAUAGAAAUAUGAAUGCUUAAUAUUUGAUGAUAUUAGGGAAUUAAACCAUUUUUGUGUGAUAGUAAUUUUUAAAGAUUCCUUAUCUUUUAGAAAUACAUAUUGAAAUAUUUAGAGAUGUAGUGAUAUAAUGUCUGGGGUAUGCUUCAAGAUAAGAGUUGCAGAAAGUGGGUGGUAGUAUAAAUCAAGAUUGGUUAUGAGUUGAGAAUUUUUGAGUAAUAGGUAUAUGGGGACUAAGUAUUCUAUUCUUCAUACUUUUACAUGCCGUAAAUCCCCACUUAUCUGCAGGGAAUGUGUUCCAAGACCCCCAGUGGAUGCCUGAAACUGAGAAUAGUACUGGACCCUGUAUAUACUGUGUUUUUUCUUUCCUUAUUGAGAACUUUUAUGUUUUCACUUAAAGGAAGGACUUUACAGCUUCUCUUUCGCAUAUCCAAAUUGCCAGCAUCACCGCUCUUGCACUCCAAGCCAUUAUUAAGUAAAGUAAAGAACACAAACACUGUGAUACUGCUACACUUGAUCUGAUAACCAAGAAGUCUACUAAGUGACUAACAGGUGGGUAGCAUAUACAGCAUAGAUACACUGGACAAAGGGAGGACUCACAUCCUGGGCAAGAUGGAGCAGAAUGGCAGAGUUCAUCAUGCUGCUCAAAAUGAUGUGCAAUUUAAAACUAAUGAAUUAUUUCUGGAAUUUUUCAGUUAAUAUUUUUGGACAUGAGGUGACUGCAGUUAACUAAAACCAUGGAAAGCAAACCCAUAGAUAAAGGGAUACUAUGAGCAACUGGGAACCUAAUUCUGACCAAAAAGGAGGAAUUGUUUGGCUAAUUGGAAGUGACAGAAACCUUGGGAGAAAGCAACCGCAUACCAAGGAUAAUUAUAAGAAGAAGAGAAGACAUGGAGAAGAGGAGGGAGUAGUUGUGACCGUGGAGGCAGAGAAUGGAGUAAUGUGAUCAUAAAUCAAGGAAUGCUGACAGCCACUAAAGCUGGAGAAGGCCAAGGACAGAUAUUCAAUCCUCCCGUAGAAGUACAGCCCUGCUAAUGCAUUGAUUUUGGACUUCUGGCCUCAGAACUGUCUGGAAAGCAUGGAAAUUUGUAUCUUCAUUCACUUUUGUUUUCAUGGACUCUUUUCAUGUUUGAACUUUUCAUGGU
rnacentral:lncRNA from 1 species